rnacentral:rRNA from 1 species
CAAUAGCGUAUAUUAAAGUUGUUGCAGUUAAAAAGCUCGUAGUUGGAUUUGUGGCGUACGGUGUGUUCCGGGCACUUGUUGUCUGAGUAACCUGCUGUUGCCAUCCUUGGGUGGAACCUGUGUGGCAUUAGGUUGUCGUGCAGGGGAUGCCCAUCAUUUACUGUGAGAAAAUUAGAGUGUUCAAAGCAGGCUUAUGCCGUUGAAUAUAUUAGCAUGGAAUAAUGAGAUAGGACUUUUUUGCUAUUUUGUUGGUUUGCGCAAAGAGGUAAUGAUUAAUAGGGACAGUUGGGGGUAUUCGUAUUCCAUUGUCAGAGGUGAAAUUCUUGGAUUUUUGGAAGACGAACUACUGCGAAAGCAUUUACCAAGGAUGUUUUCAUUAA